UUCUUCUCUUCUUCAUCUCUAGGGCUGGUUUUCUCUUCUUCAUGCCCAAUCUUGUUUGAGUAGAAACUUAGAAGGAGGUGAAGCUUUGGAUCGAGGCUAAGAGUUGGCCGAGGAUUAGUUUGCGAGGAAGAGAAAUCAUCAAUUUUUAGGCGGUCUUCACGGCCCGACCCUAUUGAGGUGGCGUGUCGACCGGCUGAUUACUACGAGGGCCAGUUCAGGUGGGAGUGUAGAGCCCUGACUGGAUAUUCAUCGGUAGCUGGGAGUC